UCCAAGACUUACCCCCCGCCCCCCCUGCUCCCUGUUCAGAGCACCAGGACAGGCAGCUGUAAGUAGUGCAUUCCUAUGGGGAGCAAUUUAAUAUACAACACCAGCGGCUCUCGCAGGAGCUCGUAGCCCCACCACCCAGAGUGCUGGCGGCACGGUGAGCUGAAGCUGCGGGGGAGGGGGGCUAAGCUCUCCAGCUGGGAGCUCAAGGGCCGCGCAGGACGGUCCCGUGGGCUGUAGUUUGCCCACCUCUAGUCUAAAUGAUGCACUCUGCCACAGAUGGCCAGUCUGUGACAGAUCACUGACAGCAGUUCUUAAUUUACACUUUACAUUUUACAUAGGUAAAUUACAAUGAAAACACAUACACACAUCUUAAGCAUAUACCUACUAAUACUAAACUACACUUAUGCUCUACUAUAAUUAAAACUAACAGGCCUACACUAUUGAUUCCACUGUGUUGUCAGCUGCUGCUGGGUCAGCUCUGGUUACCUGCCAGUUUAGAAUGUUCCUUUGAAAUUCUCUCUCUCCUUUUCUCUACCUAGCAGUCCUUCCAGCAGCUCUUCUCGUUGGCUCAUGACUUUGUCUGCUGAUCGUCUCCCUUUUAUACUGUCCUAUUCAAACUUUCUUUUGUACUAUCUAUUUUUAACCUCUGCUGAGCAUGCUCAUCAUCAAACAUUCCCUCAUCCUUAGCUACCAGGAGAAGUAGCCCCAAGCUAGCCCAGACUGGCGCUGCUUGACUGUUCCUUAUCCUUAUACUGCACAUGCUCACUUGCAUUAUUUCUACAUUAGAGACACAAUCACUUCAUUCGACCUUAGUGCCCAGACUCCAGAUCUAGCCUACUUUGUGGCCAUACCUUAUUUUACUCUCAGGUCUGGUCAUGUGACUUACAAUGUUUAAUGGUAAAUGACCUGCGGCUUACAGUUGGUGAAAUGACUCCUGCUUAUUCCAGAAGGAAGCCAGAGACACCGAACUGGGGGGUAGGAAUACAAAAUGGAAUCUCGGGGAAUUUUUUGGUAUCAAAGAAUUGGCAGGACGAUUCCUCCCAUCCCCACGGGCUCACCAAUCUGUGUUAGAGCCUCUCUCACAUCAUUUAAAUGGUGCUGAGGCCUGAAUUGUAAACUCUGCUUUACACUAGUGUAGCUGGGCCUCAGCUCUAAGUAACUCAGGGACUAGGAAAGAUUUGCAAACACUGCUUUUAAGUGUGAGUGCUCUCCUGUCACUGAGCCAAUUCCUCCAGCAGCUUCUGCUCUACAAAUUAAACUCAGUGAUCUAGUGAGGUGCUCUCACAGCAGAGACAAGAGGCUGUGAGAUCUCUUCCUGCAUGUGAUUCCUGGGAAUGGAGGGAAGGGAAUCCAAGCAGAGGACAGCAUCUGAACCAAGUGCAAGGAGGACAAGGACCUGUGGGGGUGAAUGUAGUAAGUGCUGGCACCAGUCAGCCAUGGAGAAUCAUCCCAUGAAGAGGUUGGGGAGGCCAACAGCAAGAGUUGAAGGCAAUAGGCAUGUGCAAAAAGAUCCUAUAGUGAGAGUGGCUGGACUGAUUAGAAAGGGAUAUGAUAAAGGGAAAGAGGAGAGAUGGGCAUGAUGGAGGGAGGAUGGUGCAGAAAAGAUGGUGGAGGAUCAGUGGCAGGAAGAAGGAGGAGGGAUGGUCCAAUGUUUAGGGCAUUAGCGUGGGAGUCAGGAGACUAGAGCACAAAAGGAUCCAUCUAGUUCAGGAUCCUGUCUCCAGGCGGGGCCAGUACCAGCUGCUUCAGAGGAAGGUGCAAGGAACAUGAAAUGGGACAUGUCACCUUUACCAAAGCGCUCUGGCCCCAUGUACAGCAAAUGUAUGGUUUGACACAACCCUUCUCGAGAACGAAGGGAUUGUGGGACUGGCAGUCGGGAAAAGGGGGAGGGACAUGGGCACAUGGGAAUUGUAGUGGGGCUGCAGUGUAUGCUGGGAAAGGGAAAUAAAAGAGUUCUGUAUUGCCCAGGGUGGGGGGAUGGACGGCUUGUGUUGUGCUUGGAGUAGAUGCUCAUAGUGGUCUCUUCUGGCCUUACGAUCUCUGAGAUCAGACUUGUAUGGGCCUUGCCACAGAGAGAAAGAAAGAAACAUGGAGAACACGGAAAUGGCUGGUGGGUCUCUGGGACAGAGUGGAGGCCGUGGCUAAAGGUGGCUUGGGAGGGAGGAACCCCAGGACAAGGGAGUUCAUUUACCAGAGAGUUUGUUCAGAGAGCUUUUCAGAGGGUGAAGAAAUCGAUGCUGAACAUUGGCACAGGGCUUGAAGGAAGCCUAGGGUGAGCAUCUGCUUCCUGUCAUGCUGUUGUGGAGGGCUUUGUGGGUCAGGGUGGGAGAUAGCUGAGACCUGAGGGAAGGCUGUGGCUCCAUGCAGGUGCAGUUGACUUACUGGAGCUCUUGGUGUUUGGACUCUCACUGAACUUGUUUGCUCUAGAAGGGCUGGUGUUUUCCUAACUUAGAGGCAGAGAUAAGUUAGACUAUUCAACCAGGUGAGAGAGAAGUCAAGGCAGAGUUGGAAGAGGAAACUGAGACAAUUGCUGUAUAACCAGGUGUGAUAAAAGAAGGUGGUAUUGAGCAAUUCUGGACAUGGACUGGAGAAAUUCACAGUGAAACCAGUGGAAAUUCCUUAAUUUUCCACUCCCCCCUGUAAAACAAGCAGUCACACUGGUUUAACAACAUAUGGUUAAAUGGCUACAAGUCUGUGUAUAGGAGAAAUACGUAAGGAGGGUAACUUGGGGGUACUUGCAUUUACCACCAAGUGACAAUAAGGUCCCUCAAAGGAGUUGGCUGAUGAGGAUGCUCCGGCUGCCUGCAGGGCACCCUUCUACCUCUAUUUGAGUCCAUAUGGCUGAAAUCUGGUUUGCUUACAUGCCUCUGUGUACAGGGCAUGUGAACUGUUUCCAUUCUCAAAAAGAAAAGGAGUACUUGUGGCACCUUAGAGACUAACAAAUUUAUUAGAGCAUAAGCUUUCGUGAGCUACAGCUCACUUCAUCGGAUGCAU